AGUGAACGCUGGCGGUAGGCCUAACACAUGCAAGUCGAACGGCAGCACAGUAAGAGCUUGCUCUUACGGGUGGCGAGUGGCGGACGGGUGAGGAAUACAUCGGAAUCUACUUUUUCGUGGGGGAUAACGUAGGGAAACUUACGCUAAUACCGCAUACGACCUACGGGUGAAAGCAGGGGAUCUUCGGACCUUGCGCGAUUGAAUGAGCCGAUGUCGGAUUAGCUAGUUGGCGGGGUAAAGGCCCACCAAGGCGACGAUCCGUAGCUGGUCUGAGAGGAUGAUCAGCCACACUGGAACUGAGGCACGGUCCAGACUCCUACGGGAGGCAGCAGUGGGGAAUAUUGGACAAUGGGCGCAAGCCUGAUCCAGCCAUACCGCGGGGGUGAAGAAGGCCUUCGGGUUGUAAAGCCCUUUUGUUGGGAAAGAAGAGCAGCAGGUUAAUACCCCGCUGUUCUGACGGUACCCAAAGAAUAAGCACCGGCUAACUUCGUG
rnacentral:rRNA from 1 species